UUAACACCAGACUGGUGAAAUGCUUAUAGAAUUCGAUACAUGUGCAGUGACAGCAAACUGUCAAGACAAUGAUGCUAGACUAACUUUAAUCAAGGAAAUAACAUUUUACCUUGCUAUAAAAUGAGUUGAGCUCUAUGUAAGGUAGGCAUCAGUCUCUGAAGCUGGAAACACACAACAGUGUUAUUAAACUACGACAAGCUAAUAAAAAAAAAGAUGUUUAACGUCAUCAGCCUUGUCCUCAUGAGCCUCGCUCUUGGAACAGUCUUGUGUUUUGCUCCCAGUGCAGCUGAAACCGAGGAAGACUUUGCCAGGCGUACUCUUUCCCCAAAUCUGGCCGGAUCUUUGCGAUUAGGAGCUGGUACUGUUGGUGGUCUCCCAUUACUUGGCGGUCUAUCAGGAAACAUAAACAGUGUCUCUGACUUGCUUGGGGAUGUUCCGUUUGCUGGAGGGCUGUUACAGAAUCCUUUAAAUAACGCGAUCAAUUCACUUCACAGUGUAGCCAGUAGUAUACCUGUUGCAGGUAAUGUGCUGGGCACUGUUCAAGGUGUAGCCAGUGGUAUACCUGUUGCAGGUAAUGUGCUGGGCACUGUUCAAGGUGUAGCCAGUGGUAUACCUGUUGCAGGUAAUGUGCUGAGCGCUUUUUAAGGUCUGAGCGAUGCAAAUGGACUCCUUGGUAGUUUUUUUAUAACAGUAAUUCAUGUAGAGAAAAAAAAAAGUUCUUCACCAUAAAUAGAUCCAAUUAGAAACUGUACUGUGGCGCUACUAGCAUGCAGACUAAAAUAAUAAACCAUCAGAUAAUAUCA